UCUUUCUUUUUCCCCCUUCCUCUUCCUUUCUUUCUUCCUCUUCCCUCUUCUUCGUCGCCAGCGAACCCCACCCCGACCUCGCCAAAGCGCCGCUGACGCCGACCUCCGCUGCCUCCUCUCCGUCGUAUCAUCCCCCAUCGCGCGAUGCUUCCACGCUCGGUGUUGCGCCGUCGCCGUAGCCGCCUCCCGCCUCUCCUCCGCCGUCGACGACCUCUCCAAUCUCACCGUGAACCCCCUUGCCUCCGAGCUCCUCCGGCCUCCGUCGCCUCCUCCUUCUUCUUCUUCUUCUUUGUAUCCUCAUCUUCUCCUCCUUCUUCUUUUUUGUCAUCGUCGUUGAUGAUCCGCCGCCUACUACUCCCGCAACCCGAAGAGGAAGAGAAAGAGAAAGAAGGAGUACUUUUGGAGGGACAUAUUUGUGAGGGCAAAAAUGUCAUUUCACGAAUAUACUGUUAAAAAAUUAACAGUUCUCUAAUGAAUCCUAACCAGAGGGACAUAUCUAAAUACAUUAGGACUUUUGCAAGGACAAAUUAUGAAAGUUGAGCUUUGUAGGGAUAUAUCUGCAAUUCACAAUGUUUGCAGGGACAUGUAUGCAAUUAACCCAAUAUUU
rnacentral:lncRNA from 1 species